rnacentral:lncRNA from 1 species
AUAAAAGUUGUCAGUAGCAGAGGGAAGCAUGAAGUGCUGUAAGAUUUCUCAGGAAAACCAAACUGCACUGACUUUAGACUUGAUAAUAAAACACACUGGAUCAACACCAGCAGAUGACAUGUCUCUCCAAUUUGUAGGAUAACGUCCUGCAUGAAGGAAAGCUUUUGAGGGAGGUGAACAGUCUUUCUGAGAAGAACCACCAGUUAAAGAACAAGAAGAGCGUGAGCGACGCUGCAAAUCUCAGCAAGAUCAAAUCUUCGAGCUGAAGCAAGAGCUCACAAACUCCACUGCAGAGCUGAAACUACGCUUAGCCCAGGCUGAAGAGCGCUUGGACAUGGAGAAGAGAAGAGCCAAGCAGGCUCUUGAAGACAUGGACAGUUUACGGCAGAAAGAGGUAGAUCACAUUAACAGGCAUCUGGAAGAAAGUGAGAGAGCACUACAAGAUCGUAUUCUCAAACUGGAGGGUCAGCGGAUCCAGCUGGAGGAGGCAAGAUUAAAUCACCUUUUAGAACUUUUGACCUGGACUAAAUGCUUUAUGAGAGAGACAGGAUUUACUUAGUUUUGAGCUGACCAUCUUGCUUUAUUUUCACGCAGGAGCUGAGCCGAGUGAAGGCCGCUAUAGUGACGGAGAGAGCACAGGCAGAGGAAGAGCUCGGGAAAGUGAGAACGCAAGUGCGGCUGGAGGAGGUACAGAGCUCCACCAAUAGAGCUGAAUUACCCCUAUAGACUGAUAUAGGCUAAAUGUGUGGGGCUAAAGUGCUGUAGGCUGGAAAGGAGUCAAGGGUCAAUAUUUAAUUGAAGAUUGUAUAGCUCUGGAGCAAAAAUAAGAGAUCACUUCAGUUUCUAAAACAUUUGUUGUUUUAUUCUAUAAACUAAACACAACAUUUCUACCAAAUUCCAAAUACAAAUAUUGUCAUUUAUAUAGAGCAUUUAUAUGCAGAAGAUGAGAAAUGGCUGAAAUAACAAAAAAGAUGCAGAGCUUUCAGACCUUAUAUAAUGCAAAGAAAACAAGUUCAUAUUCAUCAAGUUUGAGAGUUGAGAAAUCAAUAUUUG